AUACCGGCUGCUCGAGUGAUGGCCACUAUUACUGGGUUUAAAGCGUCCGUAGCUUGACUGUUAGGUCUCUUGGGAAAUCUUUUGGCUUAACCAAAAGGCGUCUAAGAGAUACCGGCAUUCUUGGAACUGGGAGAGGUAAGCCGUACUUCGGGGGUAGGAGUGAAAUCUUGUAAUCCUCGAGGGACGACCUAUGGCGAAGGCAGCUUACCAGAACAGCUUCGACAGUGAGGGACGAAAGCUGGGGGAGCAAACGGGAUUAGAUACCCCGGUAGUCCCAGCCGUAAACAAUGUGCGUUAGGUGUGUCGGUUACCACGCGUAACUGACGCGCCGAAGAGAAAUCGUGAAACGCACCACCUGGGAAGUACGGUCGCAAGGCUGAAACUUAAAGGAAUUGGCGGGG
rnacentral:rRNA from 1 species